GAUGAACGCUGGCGGCGUGCCUAAUACAUGCAAGUCGAGCGAACAGACGAGGAGCUUUCUCCUCUGACGUUAGCGGCGGACGGGUGAGUAACACGUGGAUAACCUACCUAUAAGACUGGGAUAACUUCGGGAAACCGGAGCUAAUACCGGAUCAUAUAUUGAACCGCAUGGUUCAAUAGUUCAAGACGGUUCUGCUGUCCCUUAUUGAUGGAUCCACGCAGCAUUAGCUAGUUGGUAAGGUAACGGCUUACCAAGGCGACGAUGCGUAGCCGACCUGAGAGGGUGAUCCGCCACACUGGAACUGAGACACGGUCCAGACUCCUACGGGAGGCAGCAGUAGGGAAUCUUACGCAAUAGGCGAAAGCCUGACGGAGCAACGCCGCGUGAGUGAUGAAGGUCUUCGGAUCGUAAAACUCUGUUAUUAGGGAGGAAGAAAUGUGUAAGUAACUAUGCACGUCUUGACGGUACCUAAUCAGAAAGCCACGGCUAACUACGUG
rnacentral:rRNA from 1 species